rfam:Triticum aestivum genome assembly, contig: Triticum_aestivum_CS42_TGACv1_scaffold_194972_3AL
CAAAUACUCCCUCCGUCUCAAAAUUCUUGUCUUAGAUUUGUCUAGAUACGGAUGUAUCUAAACGUAACUAGAUACAUCCGUAUUUAGACAAAUCUAAGACAAGAAUUUUGGGACGGAGGGAGUAGAAA